rnacentral:rRNA from 1 species
GAUCAACGCUAGCUACAGGCUUAACACAUGCAAGUCGAGGGGAAACGACAUCGAAAGCUUGCUUUUGAUGGGCGUCGACCGGCGCACGGGUGAGUAACGCGUAUCCAACCUGCCCAUCACUUGGGAAUAACCUUGCGAAAGUAAGACUAAUACCCAAUGAUAUCCCACGAAGGCAUCGGAAUGGGAUUAAAGAUUUAUCGGUGAUGGAUGGGGAUGCGUCUGAUUAGCUUGUUGGCGGGGUAACGGCCCACCAAGGCAACGAUCAGUAGGGGUUCUGAGAGGAAGGUCCCCCACAUUGGAACUGAGACACGGUCCAAACUCCUACGGGAGGCAGCAGUGAGGAAUAUUGGUCAAUGGGCGAGAGCCUGAACCAGCCAAGUAGCGUGCAGGAAGACGGCCCUAUGGGUGGUAAACUGCUUUUAUAAGGGAAUAAAGUGGGUCACGUGUGACUUUUUGCAUGUACCUUAUGAAUAAGGACCGGCUAAUUCCGUG